UGCCCACAAUAUUCUGGGAGCAGAGUCACCUAUUUCAGAGCCACGUGUUCAGGUGUUACUGCGGGGUGCCUGCAGGUUUGGGAUUAUGAUGGCCACAUCAUCUAGCACCUUCUGAAACUAGAAGAGCCCCAGGUCAGCCUACUCAAAGGCCACAAGGAUUCAGAUCAGCCAUGUGUGACAAGAGAUCCAAAUCCAAACUCUCUCCAGAUAUCCAGACUCCCCGACCGGCCUACCAACCGUCCGGCAAGCAAAAACUAUCACAGUACGUGCUAAAUCAACAAACCGUAAGAGGAAGCAAGGAAGAUAGAAAUGCAUCUUCGGAAAGAGGAGCCCUUCUACGUUCUUACUGCCCUUUAUUUACUUAGGGUCUGGACACCUGGCCCUGCUGGGGAUCAGCCAGACCAAAUAGCAUCCCUGCACUCAGCGGCUUUGCUGUCUCCACCAGAGACCCCGUUAGACUGGAGGAGCCUCUGAAAACUUGCCCUUCUCCGGGCAAGCUGCUUACUGGGAGCGGCAGCUAUAGAUUUCUGCCCCAAUUGUUUUUGGCUUGGACAGCCUAUGCUUUUACAAACAGACCCUGACCGCCCUGAAGUCAUUUCUGUCCUGGAUCUCCAUCCCAGGCCACUGUAUUGUUUUCAUUUCCUGUGCUUCUGCACUUCCUUACCAUAACAUUAUCGCACAUUCCCGGCGCUACUGGGCGGCAGGCGGGCUGAUACACCAUCAUUUGGCAUCAGUCGAAAUUGUUCCAUAGAACUUCUAAUCACGGGUCCCUUAAGGCGCCCCGCAGGAGCUUACAGCAACUCGGGAGCGAAUGUCACAGGAAUGCAAAGCCUGACGUGAGACGUGGUAUAUAUUUCCAAGAUAGGCUGCCUUCUAUUGAAAUUGGCUGGUGAGGAAUCCCACGCGCCCAGCAAGGAAUCGGGAAGUGGAAUGUACACAGUGAGGUGCAUAUGGAAUCCCCAACCUCCCUUUUACCCGGGUCUCAUAAGUGAGAUAAGUUACCAAACCCCAAGGGCAGAUGGCCACCGUCCUGACAGCGCUACAGAUCUUUCCCCUUCUUGGGCAAGCUGCCCCAACUACCUGCUCCACAACGGUAUACAGCGCCAAACAGUACAGUUUUAUGGUGCCAAACGAGUAAACUUCUGUUGAUGAAAACUUCAAAAACCAAAAGGAACACCUGUUCCUGGUAAGGAUUAAAACAAACAGAAGGGAGUAUUAAAUUCUAGGCAAACAGUAGCUUCCUUGUAUCACCCAGAAGACAGAGGGACUCAGAAAGACAAAAUGCAACACCGAGAAAGAAAUUCACAAAGGCGUCUCUGCCUACAGUUUCUGCACAUUCCUCCACCUUGCCCUUCUUCUCCCCUCUACCAAACAGCCCAGGAGGUAAAGGAAAGGAGAUGAGUUACUCAAUCUACUUGCCUACCUGGAUGAUUCUAAAAAGGGUACCCCUGAACCAGACCAGGAGGUGGUAGCUUUAUGAGAGUGGGGGCCAAGUCCACAUUCUUGUUCAGCUCCCGCGAGAUGAACUUACUAGUGGUCUGGAGGAGGCCAUGCUGGGGAGAAGAAUGUCAUCUCUGCCAAAGAGCAAGACAGUGGUCUACUGGCACUGAUCUUGGACCCGGGGGUGAUGCUGAGUGGCCUUCCCAUGGCAGUUGGUACACCAGAUCUCUCUCCCAACUUGUGCUUGUAUUUUUUUUUUUAAUGUUGCUAU